AUGCGUCAUUUUCUUCUCCUUUAUCUUUUGGAGACAUUUUCAUUUGUCUUCCUUUCCUGGGUUAAUUUGUUGCGAACAUUUUCAGCUUGUCAAGAAUGCUCAAACUACCGAACAAUUGCACUCAUCUCACACACUAGUAAAGUAAUGCUCAAAAUUCUCCAAGCCAGGCUUCAGCAAUACGUGAACUGUGAACUUCCUGAUGUUCAAGCUGGUUUGAGAAAAGGCAAAGGAACCAGAGAUCAAAUUGCCAACAUCCGCUGGAUCAUGGAAAAAGCAAGAGAGUUCCAGAAAAACAUCUAUUUCUGCUUUAUUGACUAUGCCAAAGCCUUUGACUGUGUGGAUCACAAUAAACUGUGGAAAAUUCUGAAAGAGAUAGGAAUACCAGACCACCUGACCUGCCUCUUGAGAAACCUAUAUGCAGGUCAGGAAGCAACAGUUAGAACUGGACAUGGAACAACAGACUGGUUCAAUAUAGGAAAAGGAGUAUGUCAAGGCUGUAUAUUGUCAUCCUGCUUAUUUAACUUCUAUGCAGAGUACAUCAUGAGAAACGCUGGGCUAAAAGAAGCACAAGCUGGAAUCAAGAUUGCCAGGAGAAAUAUCAAUAACCUCAGAUAUGCAGAUGACACCACCCUUAUGGCAGAAAGUGAAGAGGAACUAAAGAGCCUCUUGAUGAAAGUGAAAGAGGAGAGUGAAAAAGUUGGCUUAAAGCUCAACAUUCAGAAAACAAAGAUCAUGGCAUCUGGUCCCAUCACUUCAUGGGAAAUGGAUGGGAAAACAGUGGAAACAGUGUCAGACUUUAUUUUGGGGGGCUCCAAAAUCACUGCAGAUGGUGAUUGCAGCCAUGAAAUUAAAAGACGCUUACUCUUUGGAAGGAAAGUUAUGACCAACCUAGAUAGCAUAUUCAAAAGCAGAGACAUUACUUUGGCAACAAAGGUCUGUCUAGUCAAGGCUAUGGUUUUUCCAGUAGUCAUGUAUGGAUGUGAGAGUUGGACUGUGAAGAAAGCUGAGUGCUAA
rnacentral:lncRNA from 1 species